rnacentral:rRNA from 1 species
GACGAACGCUGGCGGCGUGCUUAACACAUGCAAGUCGAACGAAGAGCGACGGAAGCUUGCUUCUAUCAAUCUUAGUGGCGAACGGGUGAGUAACGCGUAAUCAACCUGCCCUUCAGAGGGGGACAACAGUUGGAAACGACUGCUAAUACCGCAUACGAUCUAAUCUCGGCAUCGAGGAUGGAUGAAAGGUGGCCUCUACAUGUAAGCUAUCACUGAAGGAGGGGAUUGCGUCUGAUUAGCUAGUUGGAGGGGUAACGGCCCACCAAGGCGAUGAUCAGUGGCCGGUCUGAGAGGAUGAACGGCCACAUUGGGACUGAGACACGGCCCAGACUCCUACGGGAGGCAGCAGUGGGGAAUCUUCCGCAAUGGACGAAAGUCUGACGGAGCAACGCCGCGUGAGUGAUGACGGCCUUCGGGUUGUAAAGCUCUGUUAAUCGGGACGAAAGGCCUUCUUGCGAAUAGUGAGAAGGAUUGACGGUACCGGAAUAGAAAGCCACGGCUAACUACGUG